rnacentral:rRNA from 1 species
GAUGAACGCUGGCGGCGUGCCUAAUACAUGCAAGUCGAGCGAACAGACGAGGAGCUUGCUCCUCUGACGUUAGCGGCGGACGGGUGAGUAACACGUGGAUAACCUACCUAUAAGACUGGGAUAACUUCGGGAAACCGGAGCUAAUACCGGAUAAUAUAUUGAACCGCAUGGUUCAAUAGUGAAAGACGGUUUUGCUGUCACUUAUAGAUGGAUCCGCGCCGCAUUAGCUAGUUGGUAAGGUAACGGCUUACCAAGGCAACGAUGCGUAGCCGACCUGAGAGGGUGAUCGGCCACACUGGAACUGAGACACGGUCCAGACUCCUACGGGAGGCAGCAGUAGGGAAUCUUCCGCAAUGGGCGAAAGCCUGACGGAGCAACGCCGCGUGAGUGAUGAAGGUCUUCGGAUCGUAAAACUCUGUUAUUAGGGAAGAACAAAUGUGUAAGUAACUAUGCACGUCUUAACGGUACCUAAGCAGAAAGCCACGGCUAACUACGU